rnacentral:rRNA from 1 species
UACGUAGGGGGCCAGCGUUGCUCGGAAUUACUGGGCGUAAAGGGUUCGUAGGCGGUGUGGCAAGUCGGAAGUGAAAUCUCCAGGCUCAACUUGGAGGCUGCUCCCGAAACUGCCACGCUAGAGUGCGGGAGAGGCCAGUGGAAUUGCAGGUGUAGCGGUGAAAUGCGUAGAUAUCUGCAGGAACACCCGUGGCGAAAGCGGCUCACUGGACCAUAACUGACGCUGAUGCACGAAAGCUAGGGGAGCAAACAGG